AACUAAGUAACCAGCUGAUUCUGACCUCUGAAUGACUGAAAAAACCCGUUGACAGCAGAUCCGUCAAGUAUGCUGGACCCACAACCAUUACAUGCCUGAUGGGUUAAAGCUGCCCUUUGGAUGACCUAUGCUUCACAGAGAAGAUCCUCCUUGGCUCAUCAAACGUGCUUGGAAGGAGAAAACAUCAAUAAAUCAAUCCUGAAACAUCCUACUCCAGUCAAGAGGACAGUGCUGACAUUUAGAGAUGGGAAAUGUAAGAAAAUUCUCCUGGUUUUCCAAAAUAUUGAAUCCAGCAGGAGAGGAGUUUUGAGGAAGUGUGGGCCCAAGCUGCUCAGGUUGCCUAUUACAGUACUUCCAGCGACUUGAAUGUAGAAUUGCUCCUGAACCUGGCACUGUGAAGCUAACCAGAACCUAAUCAAACAGCAAAAGGUUUGAAAGAUGAAGAUGUUCUGACAACAGCAGAUCAAGAUAAUGCUAAGCAGAAACAUUCUUCAUACCUUUCCUGCCAUCAUGAAUUAUGUUAGUUGUACCUGGAUCCAUCCUGGCCUACCACCCAGCCUCUCGUCUAUACAGACUUCCACGUGGAAUGAGCUGAGGGGCCUGCUGCAAAACCUAUUAAAUCUCUAGUAGGAGGCAGGAGCUAUCUGCACAGAGGCCCUGUGCUUCCAUACUGUGUCUGGCCCUUGCGAUGCUGCCCUACCGAUCCUAUCUAUUGCAGCCCUACCAAUUCCAUCUGUUGCAGCCUUGCUACAAGUUCCCCCUGGCAGCAGUAGCCCCCGGGACCCUGGUGUUUGUUUUGGGGGGCGGGAAGGGAGAAGAUGGGAGAAUGGAAACGAUAGUUGGUGUGUGGAUGUAUUAUCUGUUUUGUUUAAGCCCCAUGGUUCAGGGGUGGCAGGUAUGAUGUGUACCCCUCCCCUUUCUCCACUUCUCUCUCUGCAUAGGCACCAGACCUUCAGAGACCUCGGUAGGUUCCAGAGUGGGAAUCAUACUGCAGAGGCAGUUUCCCUCCCCCCCCGCCCCCUUUGGUGAGAAAGAGGGGAUGGGAUGGGUUUAAUUAAAUACAGUACAUAACACUUAGUAUUGAAUAGUAUCACUGCACAUCAGUUAUGGUGAUGUACUAUUUGUGAUAUGUGAAGUUUGCACCUUUCUGAUUCCAGGCUGCUCUGGGAACAGAAAUGGGCCCCAGGAUAAUGUGCAGUAACCCUCAUCUGCUCUAACUUAGGGUGGCCUAACCCAGGUUACCUAUGAGCUGCAGCACCAUGUGCAAUGGCCCCACCUCACCUCCUGCCACCAGCAUGCCCAGUACCCCUUCUGCUUACAGUAGUCCUACACUGUGUGCACACCAGGAGACUUCUACCUAGUGCAUUAAUGUCCCACUUCAGGGGGAAGAUUGCAGUUUAAUCAGAAUGUAAGAUUCCAUGAACAGGUGAGUGAAGUGAAUGUGAGGAAAUUUAUAUGGAGUAUCAAAUUUUAUGGAGAGUAGUUACUUUUGCCAACACGACUAAAGACAUUAUUUUAAGAAAGCACCUAGAGUCUGUUUGGACCUCAACCCUGUUCCUGACACAUCAGAAGAAAUAAAGGAGGAAUCCAGAUUAUAUCUUUAAAAAAAUAAUAAGAA